rnacentral:rRNA from 1 species
GGGGCCCUAUGGGGCGCAGCAGUAGGGAAUUUCCGUCAAUGGGCGCAAGCCUGAACGAGCGAUGCCGCGUGAGUGAAGAAGGCCUUCGGGUCGUAAAGCUCUGUUGCGGGGGAAAAAAGGCAGCAUCAGGAAAUGGGUGCUGACUGAUGGUGCCCCGCCAGAAAGUCACGGCUACCUACGUGCCAGCAGCCGCGGUAAUACGUAGGUGGCGAGCGUUAUCCGGAAUGAUUGGGCGUAAAGGGUGCGCAGGCGGUCCUGCAAGUCUGGAGUGAAACGCAUGAGCUCAACUCAUGCAUGGCUUUUGG